AUUUCUAAUCAGGCAUUGGUAGGAGGGGGUGAAUCCACAGUCCCAGACCCAAAGAAGGGAAACUCACAGCCCUGAGGGGCUGCUGCAGGCAGAGGAGCUCCUGGCUGGCUAGCAUCACCCCUACUAACAGGCAGCCCCCACAGACAUCAGCUUGGCUGUGCGGAAGAUCGCGCUGCUGCUGAAGCCGGACAAGGAGAUCGACCACCAGGGCAACCACAUGAUGGUGAGGACGCUCAGCACCUUCCGAAACUACACUGUGCAGUUCGAUGUGGGAGUGGAGUUUGAGGAGGACCUCAGGAGCGUGGACGGACGAAAAUGCCAGACCAUAGUAACCUGGGAGGAGGAGCAGCUGGUGUGUGUGCAGAAAGGGGAGGUCCCCAACCGGGGCUGGAGACACUGGCUGGAGGGAGAGAUGCUGUAUCUGGAACUGACAGCAAGGGAUGCAGUGUGCGAGCAGGUCUUCAGGAAGGUCAGAUAGCCGGAGAGGAGCCGAGAUCCCUCCAGACAGCGCCAGCCCACAGACCCUCUUGUU
rnacentral:sRNA from 1 species